rnacentral:rRNA from 1 species
UACGGGAGGCAGCAGUGGGGAAUAUUGCACAAUGGGCGCAAGCCUGAUGCAGCCAUGCCGCGUGUAUGAAAAAGGCCUUCGGGUUGUAAAGUACUUUCAGUCGUGAGGAAGGUGUUAAGGUUAAUAACCUUAGCAAUUGACGUUAGCGACAGAAGAAGCACCGGCUAACUCCGUGCCAGCAGCCGCGGUAAUACGGAGGGUGCGAGCGUUAAUCGGAAUUACUGGGCGUAAAGGGCACGCAGGCGGUUAAUUAAGUUGGAUGUGAAAUCCCCGGGCUUAACCUGGGAAUGGCAUUCAAGACUGGUUAGCUAGAGUCUUGUAGAGGGGGUAGAAUUCCAUGUGUAGCGGUGAAAUGCGUAGAGAUGUGGAGGAAUACCGGUGGCGAAGGCGGCCCCUGGACAAAGACUGACGCUCAUGUGCGAAAGCGUGGGGAGCAAAACAGGGAUUAGAUACC